AGUCGUUCUUCCGCUGUCAAGCCUGGUGGUUGCUAGGGGCGCUCCGAGCUGAAAGCGUGUGCCCUCAGACGCGUUCUGAAACAUCAGCUCUUCUUGGAUCUUGAGCCUGCCAACUUUCAGACUGGAACUUACACCGUCGACUCUCCUGAUUCUCAGGCCUUUGAACUCAGGUUGGAACUAAACAUCGGCUCUCCUAGGUUUCCAGAUUGUUGACAGCAGAUCUUGGGACUUCUAGCUUCUGUAAUCACAUAAUGAGGAUCUUCAAGAAUGUCUUCAGAUUUUCCAGGUUAAAUAGGCUCAAAGAAAUCCCACCUCUGCUCUUCCAGACAGAUCAGUCCCCUGGGGCUUAAUCAAGGCAGAGAAGCUGCCCGAGGGAGGCCAAACCUGUGGGAUACUGGCAUGGAAUGAGUGGGAACUAAGAAGCUAUGCUAAGAGUUCAUGUGAGAGGUGGUGAGGGAUUGAACUAAUGUGGAUGCAAAGGGGACAAAAAGGAGGGAGAGCUUGAAGAGACAUCUAUAACAGCUGGAGAUUGAGUUCAUUCACAUGGCCAAUCAAUCAUGCCUAUAUAAUGAAAUCCCAAGAAAAUUUCUGGACACUGAGACUUGGAGGAGUUCCUGGUUGGUGAACACAAGUGUGCUAAGAAGGUGACACAUCCUGACUCCACAGGCAGAAGGCAUGGAAUCUCCAUGUUCAAGACUCUCCCAGACAUCACUCUGUGUGUCUCUUCUUUUGGCUGGCCCUGAUUUAGCAAAUAGAAGUGUUUGCUGAUCACCAACAUCCCUCAGCAGUUCACACUUCUAUGCCUUUGUUCAUGUAAGGAUCUUUAUUCUGUGUCACUUUUUUCCAGAAAAAAAAUAGAAAUCUUUUAAAUCAUUGUUUCACACAAUAAUUGUCAUAGUUUUUAUUUUUCAUUAUAAUAACAGCCAUUGAUUUUUUACAUAUAUACAAAUACAUACACACAUAUAUAUUUUUCUUCCCUUGAACUUUUUUUUUCUGAAAUACGUAUGAAAAUUAAGUGGUUUUUAAAUGUUUUAGGCCUUUGCAAAUUAUUUAUACAUCCAAAUGCAACAGAAUUAGGAUUCCAGGUAGUAGAAGUCAUUUUACCAAAAGUCCAAGAAGUCUUUAGGAUCUCCCAAGAUAAUCUAAAAUAAACAAAGAAACAAAAAUUUGUUAGGACAGAAAUUUGGCAAGUGGUCAGUCUCCUUGUGUAUGGUGUCUCUGCUCCUAACAGGCACAUUUUUUUGAAAAAUGAAAUAUCUGUGUGGAAUAAUUUCAUGGAUUAAAAAAAAAUGCUCGAGAGAGUGAUGUUAACUUGAAUGUACAGUUGUUUUGGCUAGAACACAGCUUCAGCUUUUUAAAAAGCAGUAGCUCUCAAGAAACAUAAAGAGAAGGGAACAUUUUCCAACUCAUUUUAGGAGGCUACCUACCUGGAUAACAAAACCAAACAAGGAGAGUCCAAAAAAGAAACCUACAGACCAAUAGCCCUCAUGGAUAUAGAUGCAAAAAAUUCUCAACAGAUACUAGAAAAUUGAAUUUGACAAUAUAUAAUAUAUACAUAUAUAUUAGGGAAUAUAUUUAAAGAAUAACACAGCAUGACCAAAAAUUCAAGACUGGUUCAAUAGUCAAAAAUCAAUCAAUAGACCCACAAAAAUACAGUCAUUUGAUCUUUGGCAAAGAAGCAAAAGGGAAUUCAAUGGAGAAAACGAUAGGUUAUUCAACAAAUGGUGCUGGAACAACUGGACAUCCACAUGCAAAAGACGUGAAUCUAGACACAGACUUUACACUCUGCACAAAAGUGAACUCAAAAUGGAUCAUAGACCUAAAUGUAAAAUGCAAAACUACAAGAUUCUUAGAAGAUAACAUGGGAGAAAAUCCAGAUGACCUUGGGUUUGGUGAUGACUUUUUAAAAUACAGCACCAAAGGCAUGACUUACGAAAGAAAAAAUUGAUGUCAGACUUCAUUACAAUUAAAAACUUCUACUAUGCAAAAAACGCUGUCAAGAAAAUAAGACAAACCAAACAGUGGGAGGAAAAAAAUUGCAAAAGACAUAAGUACUGUUAUCCAAAAUGUGUAAGGAACACUUAAAACUCAACAAUAAGAAAAUGGACAACCUGAUUUAACAAUGAGGAAAAGAUCCAGACAUUUCACCAGAGAUACAGAUGGCAAGUAAGUAUAUGAAAAGAGGCUCAACAUGUGUCAUUAGGGAAUUGCAAAUUAAAACAAGAUACCACUACGAACCUAUUAGAAUGGCUAAAAUCCAAAAUACUGAGAACACCAAAUGCUGGCGAGGAUAUGGACCAACAGAAGCUCUCACUCACUGUUGAUGGGACUGCAAAAUGGUACAACCACUUUGGAAGAUAGUUUGGCAGUUUUUUAAUAAAAUCAAAUAUACUCUUACUGUACAGUACAGCAGUCACACUCCUUGGUGUUUACCCAAAGAAGCUGAAAAUUUACAUCCACACAAAAACCUGCAUGUUGAUGUUUGUAGCAGCUUGAUUCAUAAUUGCCAAAACUUGGAAGCAACUAAGAUGCCCUGCAGUAGGUGAAUAGAUGCACAAAACUGUGGUACAUUCAGACAAUGGACUAUUACUUGGUGCUAAAAGGAAAUGAGCUACUGAGUCAUGAAAAGACAGAGAGGAACCUUAAAUGAAUAUUACUAAGUCAAAGAAGCCAAUCUUAAAAGGCUACAUACUGGAUGAUUCCGACCACACGAUAUUCUGGAAAAGGGGUUGCGGGGAGGGAGGGAGGGAUGAGUAAGUAAAACAGAUAUUUUUAGGGUAGUGAAAUUUUUCUGUGUGAUACUAUAAGGGUUAAUACAUGUCAUUAUACAUUUGUCAAAAUUCAUAGACUAUUUAAUACAAAGAGUAAACACUAAGUCCAGCCCAACACUGGGCUUUGGUUGAUAUUAUGUGUCAGUGUUGGUUCAUUGAUUAUAACAAAUAGAUGUAGCACACUGAUUCAGGAUCAUGGUGAUGGGAGAGGCUGUAUGAAGCGAGGGAUGGGGAGGUGGGAAUUCCCUGCGCUUUCUGCCCAAUUUUGCUGUGAACCUAAAAACUUCUUUAAAAUAUUUCAUUUUAGUGUAUAUAUUUAUACAUACUUAAUUUUUAUAUAUAAAAUAUACUUUAUUUUUUAAAUUUAUGUGUAUUU